GUGGAAGGGGGCUUGCCCCCGAUGGUGGUGAGACGAUCAAUACCUUGAUUGCCUGAUAGACCUAUAUCGGGGGCAAGCCCCCUCCCAC
rnacentral:misc_RNA from 1 species